rnacentral:lncRNA from 1 species
AGGAGAAGAAAGUAAAGAGCACCAAAGUGGAAGCAAAAGUUAAAAAGGAAGUGAAGGAUGGAAAAGGAGAAGCAAAGAUGCCUGAGAAGGUCAAGCAGACAGAAACUAAAACAACAGAAGUUGGGUUAAUAAAGGCCAAACCGAAAGUUAAGGAGGAGAAAGCACUUCAGACUGUAACUAAAUCGGAAAAGAAAGAUCAAUAUGCAUUCUGUCGCUAUGUGAUUGACAUGUUUGCGCAAGGGGAUUUUUAUCCAGGACAUAAGGGAAUGGUAUCACCUCGUCUUCUUCUAGAACAUAGUCCAAGAAAGAAAACAGCAGCUAUUGAAGAAGAGAAGUCUAUUGUGGUAGCUAAGGAAGUGAAAAAAAGAAAGGAUGAAAAGAAAAGGACUGAUAUAAAGAGGUCUGUUACUGAAACUAAGAAGAAAGAAAAAGAAGGAAAAAAAGAGAAAGCUCAUGAGAAGACAGCUGUCCCUGAAAUUAAAAAAGCAGAUAAAAAAGAAGCUGCUGUGUCCAAAGAACUCAAAAAGCCAGCAAAAUACCCUGCAGCUAAUCCAUCCACCAAAAAAGCAGUAAUACCAGAAACACACAGGAAAGAAAAAAUGGUGGAUACUGCCAAAACAGCAAAGAAAGAAUCAAAAGUACAUGCAUCUGUGGAAACUCUGAAGUCAAAAGUACCUGAAAAGAAGGAAGAAAAAGCAAUGAAGGCAGGAGAGCAAGAUAAACCAAAGAUGAAACAAGCAAAUCCUGGAAAAGACAAAGAAUUGAAAUCUCCAGCUGCUACAAAAGAUAAAGAACACACUAAAGAAAAGGAAGGAAAGAAUCCUGCAGAUUUAAAAGAUAAAGAGUCUCUGAAAGGAAAAAAUCCCAAGAAUCCAGAGGGGUCAAAGGAUAAAGAGACUGGUAAAAGAAAAGAUGUGAGGCCUUCAGCAGUCUUAAAGGAAAAGGGAAAAGAAAUGAAGGUUUCAACUACAACUAAGGAGAAAGCUGCGGUGAAAAAGGAAGGGGAGAAGAAAGGUACUUCAGAAAAAACUCAUGAACACAAGGAGAAAAUUAAACAACCAAAGACAGCUCCCACUGAGAAGUCAGCCCAGGCAAAACCAGCAAAGCAUGAAACGAUCAGGCAUGAAAAGGAUGUUCCAACUACAAAACCAGUCAAACUGAAAACAACUGCAAAGCCAACAGGUGAAAUUCCAAUAACAGCCCUGAAAAAAACAAAGACUUCUAAGGACAAAGAAGGUAGGCAGUUACUCUGUGUGUGCAUAUAUAUGUAG